rnacentral:rRNA from 1 species
UACGAAGGGGGCUAGCGUUGUUCGGAAUCACUGGGCGUAAAGCGCACGUAGGCGGAUCUUUAAGUCAGGGGUGAAAUCCCGAGGCUCAACCUCGGAACUGCCUUUGAUACUGGGGAUCUCGAGUCCGGGAGAGGUGAGUGGAACUGCGAGUGUAGAGGUGAAAUUCGUAGAUAUUCGGAGGAACACCAGUGGCGAAGGCGGCUCACUGGUCCAUUACUGACGCUGAGGUGCGAAAGCGUGGGGAGC